rnacentral:lncRNA from 1 species
UCGCCGGCAGCCGCGCACAAAUGCACGGGGAUGAAGGAGAAGAAAGAGGGGAGGAAGAGGAAAACUUACCUCAGCCUCCGGAGACCUCGUCGGCGGCAAUCACGGCGAGAAAUCAAAGGGUGUCCGCGGCCUUCGAUCGAGAAAAACGGAGAGAAAGAGAGAGGGAGGAGGUCGAUCUUCAGUCUCAAGGGGAAGGGGUCUUCUUAUAGAGCACCCUAGGACUCCGAGGGGUCCUAGGAGUCCUAAUUUCCAUGGGUUUCGUCGGAGAAGAAGACUCCUACCGGGAGUCUUCUUCCCGGUUGCU